rnacentral:lncRNA from 1 species
ACUCACGUGGGCCUCUCCCUGCCGCUGCGGGACAAAUUGGACCGGAGAUUAAAGGACCGGAGUUUAACUCGAGCACUGAUGAAGUCCACCAGAAGUGAUGGGGAUUCCAGCUCCAUUCUGUCACACACCAGAACCUUAAUCCUUGGCUCCUUCAAGCUGGAACGCGGCUGACUUCACCUGACCCACUCCCAAACUCCUAUUCAUCUUUCAAGAUCCUGUUCAAAUGUUUCUUCAGUGGCAUCUUCCUUAAUACCUUCCACCGAGGGACAACUAGAUCCCCUCUGCUAGGUAGCAGUGUUUCAGGAGCUAAACCCUGUGACUAAGAGAGGACGGCCUGCCAUUCCCUCAGCUGUGGGUUCUAAAAUACUUUAGGACCUUGCUGGGCGCCGUGGUUCAUGCCUGUAAUCCCCACACUUUGGGAGACUGAGGCGGGCGGAUCACCUGAAGUCAGGAGUUCGAGACCAGCCUGACCAAUAUGGAGAAAACCCGUCUCUACUAAAAAUACAAAAUUAGCCAGGCGUGGUGGCGCAUGCCAGUAAUCCCAGCUACUCAGGAGGCUGGGGCAGGAGAAUCGUUUGAACCCAGGAGGCGGAGACUGCGGUAAGCCGAGAUGGCGCAAUUGCACUCCAGCCUGGGCAACAAGAGCAAAACUCCGUCUCAAAAAAAAAAAGAAAGAAAAAAAAAGUCAGGACCAUCUGGCCUUUCUCAGGAAUCUACCUUUUUGUCACAGGUUCUGGUGGUAGUGAGUUCUCUGUCCCUGGAGAUGCCAUCAGAGCCUAAGUGGCACUGCAGAAACGUGCAGCCCUGGAGUUUUGGUAGUUGAUGAAGAUUCUAAGUCAACCCUCUUUAGAUGGGCAGAAGAGUUCAGCCAAAUGCUCAGCCCCUGGAAACAACUCCUCCAGUCCUUCAGACUACAGCUCUGUUGUCCCUUCCUUCCAUAAACCUUCCCACACCUCCCUGACUAGUCACAUCCCUUUAUUCUCACUCAUAACCCCAACUGCUGAGUACAGAUCUGGCACAUAGUAGGCUCUCAAUAAUUGCUGACUGGGUGAAAGAAUGGAUAAAAACAGCUAACCUUAGGUGAGUGACUUCUGAGCCUCUAUUUCCUGUCUUCUAAGGGGAUGGGUAAUAAUGAUAGUUGCUACCUAGCAGGAAUGCUAUGAGAAUUAAACGAUGCUUGCAAAGCAAUUAAAGGUCUGGCCUAAUAAAUGGAACCUCUUACUAAUGUUAUUUAAAGAGUGGUUCUAAAUCUCAGAUGCAUGUCUUCUGAAAGUGCUUCUGGGAGGAGUCAAAUACCACAAGACUGAGAAAAACAAGGGAAAUGACUGUGCU